UACGGGGGGGGCAAGCGUUGUUCGGAAUUACUGGGCGUAAAGGGCUCGUAGGCGGCCAACUAAGUCAGACGUGAAAUCCCUCGGCUUAACCGGAGAACUGCGUCUGAUACUGGAUGGCUUGAAUCCGGGAGAGGGAUGCGGAAUUCCAGGUGUAGCGGUGAAAUGCGUAGAUAUCUGGAGGAACACCGGUGGCGAAGGCGGCAUCCUGGACCGGCAUUGACGCUGAGACGCGAAAGCGUGGGGAGCGAACAGG
rnacentral:rRNA from 1 species